rnacentral:rRNA from 1 species
GCUAAUACAUGCAAGUCGAACGAGUUCUCGUUGAUGAUCGGUGCUUGCACCGAGAUUCAACAUGGAACGAGUGGCGGACGGGUGAGUAACACGUGGGUAACCUGCCCUUAAGUGGGGGAUAACAUUUGGAAACAGAUGCUAAUACCGCAUAGAUCCAAGAACCGCAUGGUUCUUGGCUGAAAGAUGGCGUAAGCUAUCGCUUUUGGAUGGACCCGCGGCGUAUUAGCUAGUUGGUGAGGUAAUGGCUCACCAAGGCGAUGAUACGUAGCCGAACUGAGAGGUUGAUCGGCCACAUUGGGACUGAGACACGGCCCAAACUCCUACGGGAGGCAGCAGUAGGGAAUCUUCCACAAUGGACGCAAGUCUGAUGGAGCAACGCCGCGUGAGUGAAGAAGGCUUUCGGGUCGUAAAACUCUGUUGUUGGAGAAGAAUGGUCGGCAGAGUAACUGUUGUCGGCGUGACGGUAUCCAACCAGAAAGCCACGGCUAACUACGUGCCAGCAGCCGCGGUAAUACGUAGGUGGCAAGCGUUAUCCGGAUUUAUUGGGCGUAAAGCGAGCGCAGGCGGUUUUUUAAGUCUGAUGUGAAAGCCCUCGGCUUAACCGAGGAAGCGCAUCGGAAACUGGGAAACUUGAGUGCAGAAGAGGACAGUGGAACUCCAUGUGUAGCGGUGAAAUGCGUAGAUAUAUGGAAGAACACCAGUGGCGAAGGCGGCUGUCUGGUCUGUAACUGACGCUGAGGCUCGAAAGCAUGGGUAGCGAACAGGAUUAGAUACCCUGGUAGUCCAUGCCGUAAACGAUGAAUGCUAGGUGUUGGAGGGUUUCCGCCCUUCAGUGCCGCAGCUAACGCAUUAAGCAUUCCGCCUGGGGAGUACGACCGCAAGGUUGAAACUCAAAGGAAUUGACGGGGGCCCGCACAAGCGGUGGAGCAUGUGGUUUAAUUCGAAGCAACGCGAAGAACCUUACCAGGUCUUGACAUCUUUUGAUCACCUGAGAGAUCAGGUUUCCCCUUCGGGGGCAAAAUGACAGGUGGUGCAUGGUUGUCGUCAGCUCGUGUCGUGAAAUGUUGGGUUAAGUCCCGCAACGAGCGCAACCCUUAUGACUAGUUGCCAGCAUUUAGUUGGGCCCUCUAGUAAGACUGCCGGUGACAACCGGAGGAAGGUGGGGAAGACGCCAAUCAUCAUGCCCCUUA